rnacentral:rRNA from 1 species
UACGUAGGGGGCAAGCGUUGUCCGGAAUCAUUGGGCGUAAAGAGCUCGUAGGCGGCUUGGCAAGUCGGGUGUGAAAACUCCAGGCUCAACCUGGAGACGCCACCCGAUACUGCCAUGGCUAGAGUCCGGUGAGGGGACCACGGAAUUCCUGGUGUGAGCGGUGAAAUGACGCAGAUAUCAGGAGGAACACCGGCGGCGAAGGC